rnacentral:rRNA from 1 species
GACGAACGCUGGCGGCGUGCUUAACACAUGCAAGUCGAACGGAGAACGCCGUAGCUUGCUCCUUCCGGGUCAGUGGCGAACGUGUGAGUAACACGACAGCCAUCUGCCCCGAACUCUGCGAUAAGCGACUGAAACGACUACUAAUACCGGAUACGUCCCGGGUGGUCGUCCUCUCCGCGUGGAAAGAACUUCGGUUCGGGAUGAGCCCGCGGCGUAUCAGCUUGUUGGUGAGGUUACGGCUCACCAAGGCGACGACGGGUAGCCGGCCUGAGAGGGUGACCGGCCACACUGGGACUGGGACACGGCCCAGACUCCUACGGGGGGCAGCAGUGGGGAAUAUUGCACAAUGGGCGCAAGCCUGAUGCAGCAACGCCGCGUGGGGGACGACGGCCUUCGGGUUGUAAACCUCUUUUAGCAGGGAAGAAGCGAAAGUGACGGUACCUGCAGAAGAAGCACCGGCUAACUACGUG